rnacentral:rRNA from 1 species
CACUUCUAAGGAAGGCAGCAGGCGCGCAAAUUACCCAAUCCCGACUCAGGGAGGUAGUGACAAGAAAUAACAAUAAACCGGCUUAUGCCGGUUUAAUUGGAAUGAGUACAAUUUAAACAUCUUAACGAGGAACAAUUGGAGGGCAAGUCUGGUGCCAGCAGCCGCGGUAAUUCCAGCUCCAAUAGCGUAUACUAAAGUUGUUGCAGUUAAAAAGCUCGUAGUUGGAUUUCUGUGGGGACGGAGCGGCCGGCCGCAACACGCGGUUCGAGCUAGCGCUUUCCCUACAUCCUGCCGCGAACCGUGCUACCAUUAACUUGGUGGCGCCGGGGAUCGGCUCGAUUACUUUGAGAAAAAUAGAGUGUUCAAAGCAGGCCACAUGCCUUGAAUAAGUUAGCAUGGAAUAAUAACUAAGGACUUCGGUUCUAUUUUGUUGGUGUUCGGGACUGAAGUAAUGAUUGAUAGGGACAGUUGGGGCGGUCUGUAUUCCAAAGCGAGAGGUGAAAUUCUUAGACCUUCGGAAGACAAACAGCUGCGAAAGCGUUCCGCAAGGAUGUUCCCUUUGAUCAAGAACGAAAGUUGGGGGAUCGAAGACGAUCAGAUACCGUCGUAGUCUCAACUAUAAACUAUACCAGCUAGGGAUCGGCCAACGUUAUUUCAUACCGACUUGGUCGGCACCUUAUGAGAAAUCAAAGCAUCUGGGUUCCGGGGGGAGUAUGGUCGCAAGGCUGAAACUUAAAGGAAUUGACGGAAGGGCACCACCAGCCGUGGAGCCUGUGGCUUAAUUUGACUCAACACGGGAAAACUUACCAGGUCCAGACAUAGUAAGGAUUGACAGAUUGAUAGCUCUUUCUUGAUUCUGUGGGUGGUGGUGCAUGGCCGUUCUUAGUUGGUGGAGUGAUUUGUCUGGUUAAUUCCGUUAACGAACGAGACCCCAGCCUGCUAAAUAGCGCGCGUGAGCUUUGCUCGCGGCGAGCUUCUUAGAGGGACUCUGAUGCGCGAUAGCACAUGGAAAUUUGGGGCAAAACCAGGCCUGUGAUGCCCAUCGCCGACCUGCAAGCAUGGCAGCUUGGCCCUGGCCCGUCGUAACCC